rnacentral:rRNA from 1 species
UACAGAGGUGGCAAGCGUUGUUCGGAAUUACUGGGCGUAAAGGGCGCGUAGGCGGCCCACUAAGUCAGACGUGAAAUCCCCCGGCUUAACCUGGGAACUGCGUCUGAUACUGGAGGGCUUGAGUAUGGGAGAGGGAUGUAGAAUUCCAGGUGUAGCGGUGAAAUGCGUAGAUAUCUGGAGGAAUACCGGUGGCGAAGGCGGCAUCCUGGACCAUUACUGACGCUGAGACGCGAAAGCUAGGGGAGCAAACGGG